rnacentral:rRNA from 1 species
GACGAACGCUGGCGGCGUGCUUAACACAUGCAAGUCAAACGGUGAAGCCCUUCGGGGUGGAUCAGUGGCGAACGGGUGAGUAACACGUGAGUAAUCUGCCUCUGACUCUGGGAUAACCACGGAAACGGUGGCUAACACCGGAUAUGACAUGCGGCCGAGUGGUCUGUGUGGGGAAAGUUUUUCGGUCAGAGAUGAGCUCGCGGCCUAUCAGCUUGUUGGUGGGGUAAUGGCCUACCAAGGCGACGACGGGGAGCCGGCCUGAGAGGGCGACCGGCCACACUGUGACUGGGACACGGCCCAGACUCCUACGGGAGGCAGAAGUGGGGAGUAUUGCGCAAUGGGCGAAAGCCUGACGCGGCGACGCCGCGUGAGGGAUGAAGGCCUUCGGGUCGUAAACCUCUUUCAGCAGGGAAGAAGCGCAAGUGACGGUACCUGCAGAAGAAGCACCGGCUAACUACGUGCCAGCAGCCGCCGUAACAC